rnacentral:lncRNA from 11 species
UUGCUUUAUGUAUUAUUCUGCAGAGUUUUGAAACAAUAUAUUUAUCUGGGGAGUAGUAAGAUAGAGAGGGAGAGAGAUAGACAGACAGACAGACAGACAGACAAAUAGGUAGUGUUGCUACUAGAGGUUUACAAUAGGCUUUUUCUAAGUAACAGGGAGGAUCAGAACCUUUUCUGUUACAGCUGCCACAAGUUAAUUGGGUGUGUUAUCAACUUCAGCAUAAAACAAGGCACUAAGUUUGUAAGCUUUGAGCUUUGCAUAUGACUUAGCUUGAUGGCUUGUCGAGAGCUGAAGAAGCUGUUGUUGGGAGUGGUUAUGCAGCAUCCUGAGCAUGAAGCCGUUUGGAGUGCCAAGGAAGGCAAGAUAAGAACAUUCUACUAAAAAAAGUUGCAGUUUGUUUGCAUGCUGUCGUUUGAAGAAGACGACUCACCAGAGAUAUUGUUUGUUAUUGGAAUUUCCUACCAUCUCAUUUUGAACAGACUCCCUGGAAUGGAGUAAUGGCAGAGUUCAUAUUGAUUGUCAAACUUCUUGAGUCAGAAUGUGGAACCUGCACAAUUGCAAUGUUAUAUCAAUCAAAUUCCACUACAAAGUAACAGGGGACAGGAAGUUCUAGAAAAUGGCAGCCAGUAAUGGCAGGCUGGCUUGGAAAUUGAAUCCAAGUGGGAAGAAAGAAGGGGAAAUGAAGGAGAAAGGAAUGUAUGCUGGAAGAUACAAAAAGUAAAUCCAAGCCAAGGCAAAGAUGGAUGACAGACUAUGUAUGUGCCAAGAGCAGCCAUGGCCAAGGGAAGGAGCCUCGUCGUGGAAGCCAGAGAGGGACCGUUGUUGCUGCAGGGAGGUGCCCUGCUCCUCAGAGGAUUUGGACUUCCUGUCUCCUGAGGGAAAAGGGAAGGGGAGGAAGAAGAGAAAGAAGGACCCCAAGGAGGACCUCCAGCUGCCCACGCCACUGCUACACAAGAACGUCACCCUCCGCCGGAGGAGGCCGUUGCUCUGCAGCAGCCCUGAAACUCCCACCAAGGCUUCCGGGGAGGGACCGUGCCGGUGGGACGCCGCCUCUGGCUUCCAGGAAGAGGCCUUCAGGGAUGGCGACACUGUGCUCCCGGGGCUCAGCUUCCUGCCCAUCAGCCCCAAGGAGACACAGGCAGGGGCGGCUCAAGCGAUGGCUGAAAAGUAUUCUUCUGAGCUGGUGGGGUCCCAGAUGAAUCCCAUAGGAGCUGACAGAGUGGAGAUGGAGGUGUCUGAGCAUGUGGUGGAGAAAGAGGAGGAGGAGAAGGAGAAGGACGAUGACGACGUGGCCUCUAUGGCCAUGGCAUUAGGCUCUCGGCUUCUGGAAAGACCGCAAGAGGCCUCUGUGAAGGACAGCCUCAGGUUUAAGAUGCAAAAUGUGCCUGAAGAAGGGUCAGAGAGGCUGGAGGGGGACCACCUGGCAAGCACCAAGGUUUCACCAACAGCCAGAGACAGUGAAAAAGAAGUCACUUUGUGCUGUUUGGCAGCCAUCCGUAAGAGAAGAGUAGCCUCUGAACCACGUGGGGCAAACUCCGGAAAUGGUGCAGAGCCUGCCAGGGCUUCAGAUAGCCACCUAACUUCCUAUGGGUUCCCUGUGAUUAGACAGGCAUUCAUGAUCCUCUCAGACUCCAAGGAUCCUGAUGCCGCCUUCGAGAAACUGGGCGAGACGGACUGGACUUAUCCCAAGGUGACCCAGAGGCUUGCGUCUCACAGAGCCAAAUGCCAGAGGGAGGAAGAGCAGAACAAAAAAGAAGAGGUAGAAGAGGAGGGAAAGGGGCUCAAGGAUACAGCUUUUGGAUCCCACUCCUCAAAUGCAGGGAAACGUCCAGUCACUAUCAGUAGUUUCCUUAUGGGGAAGGAAAACGCCAUUUCGAAGGACGUAACUGACAAGUUUAUGGUGCCCUAGCAGCUGCUGGUGAGUGUGGCUUUUCAGGCAGAAGAAUAACAGCAGAACCCCCCCCCCCCCCCAAAGGAAGAUUCCAGGCUCUCUCCCAAGUCCUCCAGGGUGAGCAUCAGCACCACAAAUGAAGAGGAGGGAGAGAAGGAGGUUUGGAGUGACUUUGGACCGAAAGGCAGAAGCACCAACAACAGCACACACUUUCAGCAGGAAGAAGAAGAGGUGGAUGAGUGGCGACCCAGUGGAUAAAGGCUGGUGUGAGGAAGUUUUGGGAAGGCAACUGGAAGGCCAUCUUCCACAGCUAUCCCUACAAGGAAUGAACCUCAGUCAAGAUCAAGGACCACUGGCAGACCAUGAAGAAGCUCGGGAUCCAGUAAAUUUGUGGAGGAGAAUGGAGGACAGUGGAGCAUGGCCUGUGCACUUUGAAAAGAUCGCUCAGAACUACUUCCUUUGGUAUUGGACUGGCCUUUGUCGUGGGGCCUUGUUCAGUCCCCUUUCUCCUUCCUGUGAAAGUCACCACUGAGGAUUGAAGAAGAAGUACACAGUCCUCUCAAGUCACUAGUUGUUUGGCAGUUCCACGCAACAAGCAUCCUUGUUUUUCCUGUUCUUUGGGCUACAGUUGGAGGGUAGGACAAAGGGGUGGGUGGACAGGUGAAAAGAUUGUACUGCCCAAAAUGCUAUUCCUGUUUCAAAAUCUACCAAUCAUCAAAAGCACUAAGAUAUUUGAUCAAUGGAAAAAGAAUCUUACCAGAUUUAUAUGGGCAGGGAAAAGAGCCAGGAUUGCAUACAGAAACUUAAUUGAUGUGAAAGAGAGAGGGGGUCUGAAUCUACUGGAUCUCAGACACUACCAUGAAGCAGCAGGGAUAAGCUGGUUGAAAAACUGGAUAACAUUAGAGAACCAAAAUCUACUUAAUCUAGAGGGCUAUGACCUCAGGUACGGCUGGCAUGCAUAUCUAUGGUAUGAAGGGGAUAAGUUAAAUAAAAAUUUCAACAUACAUGUAAUUACCUUAGAUAUAUAGAAAAGUUAUAAAUACGGUAUAGAACCAAAAACACUCCUAUGGCUAAGGCCAUUAAAAGCAAUACAAAGGCCAAACUCAAGGGAAGAAAUCAGAACAUAUAGAGAGAAUCUAACUCAGGAAAAAGGCGAAUGGAAACUAAGAGGAAGAAAUGAAUUAGGCAUUAAUGAUUGGUUCCAUUAUCAUCAGCUACAUGCAAUAUUUAAAAAGGGAUGUGAGGAUUGGCUUUGCUAUAAAAAAUCAGAAUAAGAAAGUAUACUAGAAAAAGGAAGUAAAAGAUUAAUUUCCAGACUAUACAAAUAUUUAUUAGGCUAUAACCUUCUUCCAUAUAUGGUGGUUAUGUGAGAAAGUUAAAGGUUUUGGAGCAAGGUAAUUAAGGAAACAAAAUCUUGUGCAAUAAGGUAAAAAAAAAAUCAGGGAUGUGUCUGCUGGGCUAAUUCAGGGAAGGCUUCAACCAGAAUGAUAAACAAAUAGCUCAAUACAGUUUUGCAGCAGCAAGAAUGAUAAUUGCUUGGAAUUGGAAAGAGGAAAAAGCGUUAACUAAAAAGGAUUGGAGAGAUAAGCUAAUGUAUUACAUACAAAUGGCCAAGAUAUCCAAUAACAAAAACAAUGAAAAGUUUCUAAAGAGAUGGAAACGGGCAAUGGCAUAUCUGGAAGGAGAGUCAAAUAAGUGAAUGAUAAUAGUCCCAAGAAGAAUGUAUGGGCAAACAUGAUAGAAGAGUAAAUAAGCAAUAUUAUAGGCACAGUGACUAAGGAUGGAAGUCAAGGUGUGGGGUGCACAAGUGUGUGAGAUAAGGGUUAACUUUGUGUAGGAUGUGGGCAAGAGGAGUGUCUUAUAUGUUGUAGAGUGGGUUCCGUGUGUUAUGUGUACUGUAUGCAUCCAUCACGUUUGUAAAUUGUAAUAAAAAGUUAAAUAAAAAAGAAAAAAUGGGAAAAAUAAUGAGAUGUGUACCCCUCCCACAGUCUACUUCUCUUUACACAUUGGGAAUGUUCACAGGAGAACAUUCAAUUCAGUCAUUGCUAUAAUGCAACAAGUUGGAUCUCUCACUUGUCUUUGUCAGCUACUAUUGUACCUCCAAAACUCUGGGGGAAAUGUACAGUGGAAAUAAAAAUGGGUAUUUUUUGUGUGUCUGUUAUACUUUGGAAAUCUGAUAGACUAUAAAAAAAACAGCACAUGCAGCAGAAUUCCAAUGCACCUUCUCUGCUGUUUGAAACAUUUGGAAGAAUAAAUCACUGCUCCUGGCAAGCACCAUGUUUAAUGGGGACAUCUAUCAUGCUCAUGCGAAACAAAUCUGAUCACAGAGAACCAACUUUGAAUUUGUAAAUACCAUAAUUCCUAUUCAGGAUUAGUUUCUAAGGAACCAAUUGAAAAGAAAAUAUAUUAUCUCUUAUAUGCAGUUUAUACUCUGCAGAUCCUCAGCACACAAAACUGCUUAAUUUUUUUUUAAAAAGCUGUAGACCAAAAUACGCCUAUAUAAAUUAGCUGCUGAUGAUUAUGCAUAUCGUGGCAGCAAUGUAAUUAAUACAUUGUAUAUCUUGGAGAGACUGAGUGUUUCCAGACCCUGGGAGUACUCUAUAGCAAAGGCAGUUGAAAAUGUUUAUAUCCAGACAGGUUUUGAAGACUUCAAAGGAUCUUAAGGGGGUCAUGUUCCCACAGGUUUUGAUUUUUGAUUUUUAAAUUGGAUUUGUUUUUGUUUUGUUUUUUUAAAAAAAUGUUUCAGUUGCAUAAAUAGUUUUGAAAUUGUUAGCAUUUUGGCAAUAACAUAUCUCUUGUGCUUUUAUUUGCUUUUGUCUUAAUUUUUGCAAGUUGCUUUGAGCCCCAGUUUUGGAGAAAUAGUAGGUGAUGAUUAUCAUUCCUAAAAAUAAAGUCAAUUUUGAAUCAAUG